ACAAAUAUCAUCCCUGCUAUUGAUCCAUAGGAAGCAACAGACAUUCCCUAGAAAUUUUCAUGUAGUAUUAAUGAUGCAGUCCUAACUGUCUUGGCGCAUCCCUCAGUGUAUUUCUUUUAUUUAAUUCCAACUAUUAUUAUAAUAACUAAAAUUGAAUUUUAAUUAUUAGAUCACAACUCAAGUUAAACAAUUUGAAAGUAAAAAACAAACAAAUGAAAAUGAAAGUCAAUAAAUGUAAGGUCCAAAAGUCAAACCUCACACUUUCCACUUUCUCUCUUUUUCUUUCGUGCAUGAAAAAAUGAUCAAAAUAUAAGACCCAUAGGCAAAAUGAGAUGAAUCGAAACAAUGAAGUUAGACCAUUGACUUUGAUGCAAAUGAGUGAUGGGAUGUAUGCAACGAUCAUGUUAUGCUAAUGCAAAUGAAAAACUUAUGGUAAAAUUUAUGAUAUGACAAUUGUCCCUAUUUAAUCAUCUUGGACCUGAAUGUACGAAUUUCGACAGCUUUUCGGGCAUUCAAGGUAGAAGAGGAUUAAAUACAAGAAUAUUCAAAAAUUUGCCCGUUGAGAAUGGAUGUAAUGUAAGAGUAAUUUUGUGAUUUGCCAAGCAAAUAUUGGUCUUUGGGCGUGUCAAUAAGAACUGGAUUUUUGACAUGCCAAUAAGAACUGGACUUUUGGCUUUUCUCGUUUGCAAGGCCUCAUGCUAUACUAACUGAAUGAUAUGCAUGAGUGAAGCGACAUCAUUGAUGCAUGAUAAUGAUUAAUGUACUAGUUACACCAGAUGCUCAUGUUGCGGAUGGUAGGAAUUUUGGGUUAGGAUAAGGGUCAUACAAAUGCGGUUCUCCGACAUCUACUUCAGGCUCAAUGGUUGUCACACCUCUGGACUUAAUCGGAAACAUGGAGAGAGCUUGUAUCUUCAUAGCCUACCUGUGCCCCAAUCUACUAUGUAUCUACAAGAAUUGCCCCAGUCACAAGUUAUGAAGCAACCUUGACAUCUGAAGAUCUCAAACCGGCUUGCCCCAACGUCUUGAAAUUGUAUCCUCUUGACUAACCAUUUCUGGGAGUAAUUGACUUCUUGUGCUUCUGAGGUGACCUGCCCAGUAUGUACCUUGAAGUGAUUUUUCCCCUGUUUGGUUGAUUUAAAGAGAUUUGUCAAAUCUCGACGUGAUUGCCCCAGAUUGACUAAAUCCUGAAGAGAUCUGUGUUAUAGGGAUAUCAAAAGAAAUGUUCAACCUCCCCAUUGUGUAAACUUUCUUGAUGUCAGGUGCUAGUUCGCAAGUAAAAAAUGAUCAUUUUGAAAAUGAUAAUUGUAAUGUCAUACUCAUGUGAGUUGCUUAGUCAAGCCUUUCCUUUUUGCAUUUGGUUUAAACACCACAAUUUGAGUUGACACCGCCAUGGUUAUACACAUCUCUCUUUGGUAAAAACACCGCUUUUUGCUCUUUUGCGAUUUAAACAUCAACAUUUGGUUUAAACACCGUAUUUGUUCUCUCUUUUGGUUUAAACACCAUUCAUUUGCCAUGUCAGUCCCAGUGCUCUGGUAAGCCUUUUCCUUCUAGUUUAAACAUCACCCCCAUGAAGGUGUGAAAAACACAAGAAAUGGGGGUUUGAAUUGAGUUUUAAAAACAAAAUAUUUUUGCCAACUCAAAAACAACACUCGAAUGUUAAUAACAAAGAGAUAAAAAUAUGAUUAUUUUUAUCCUAGUCCGCUUGAAACUCAAAGCUACUCCAGUCCACACGCCAAGGUAAUGUCUCCUUAUACACAAGGACUCAAUCCACUAUAAUCAACUAAUUACAAUAAUCACAAAGAUUAACCUUCUUUGUCUUCUCAAGGAUCCGACUAUACCCUAAUCUCCUUAGCAAAUCACAAAGAACAACUUUCUUUGUCUUCUCAAGGAUCCGACUAUACCCUAGUCUCCUUAAGGAAAAUCAAACAAACAGUUUGAAUAAUAUUUUGUGUGUUAAAAGUUGCUUUUACACAAGCAUAUUUUACACAAAUGAAAUACAAACAAUUAAACAAAAAUUAUGUACAAAAAUUGAUAGUUUUUCACAAAGAAUUAAACUUGUCAAAUUGUUGCAGCGCUUGCUUAUUUCUUCAAGUCUCUUAGUCUCACUUAUAUAGCAUAAGAAAAGAGAUGCUUGGAGGGGAAAAUUGGGAUACCAAAUAGAGUGAUUUCCCACGUUUGAAAUGGUGAAAGGAGUGACACAUAGUACUGUACUUCGACCAUAAUUUCAGUGAUAGGUGUGUUGUAUAGUACAUCCUUUUCCCACGAUAUCCGGUAGUGAAAGGAAUAUUUGAUUUGUACCAUGUACUAUUUUAUCACGUCUCCAUUUUGAUCUUAUCUUCAAACUCAUUAGUUUCUGAUGGAAGUUGAAGAAAUAUUUAAUUUAUUAUGGAUUGAAUUUGUAUAUAUUUUCAGACACUCAUAAUAUAAAAAAAAGACGAUUAAUCAUAUUUGACAAUAUUUGUUGAAGAGCAUGGACAUCCCGAAAACAUAUAAACAUUACCAAAAUAAUAACAAAAAACAAAAAGUUAUAUAUAAAUAUGUUUUGUUUCAUUAAUAUUUCGUAAGUCUUAUAUAAAGAAAUUAAUCGAAAAUUUUGUAGUUGUUAUAUGAAGAAAUAUUAUAAUUUUUUGGUAUAAAAUAUAAUUUUGAUGUAUGACUUUUUAAAUAUUGGAUAAUAUAAUUUUGUGGUUAUAUACAUUGAAUAAAUAUAUUAAUUUUGGUUGUACUUUUAUGUACUGAAUGAAUGUUAUAUUAAAAAUAUUUGGUUUAAUAAUUUUUUUAAAAUUCAUUUUCAAUAAAAUAAAUAAGUAUAAACUCCUCUUUCUAUAUUAAUAAAAAUAAAAUAAAUGCUCUCAUAUUAUUAGAAAUGAAAUUGUGACCGAGAAAGAAAAUGAACUCAAAUCAAAUUUGGUUCCUGAAAAAAAAAAUUGAAAUAUUUAUAUCUAAGUGAACAAUUAUUUUUAAAAUGAACUUCUUUUAAGAAUUAUUUUUUUAUAUUCUUUAACCAUGGCAUGCCAUCAAGUUGUUUAUAAAUUUUUCAUGAAAUUUAAUAUUAUUUUAGUGUAUAGAAAUAUUUAGAUAAAUAUACAUAUUUUAGUCUUGCAGUAUUGUGAAAUGUAGAUUUUAAUAAGUAAGUAUUUCAAGAUCAUGGUAGAUUUAAAACUCAAAAUAAUAAAUUUAAUAUUAAAGAUCUACAAUAAAGUUAUCAAUAUUCUAAUAUAAAGGUGUAUUAGAAAAAUAGUCUAUAAAAUAGAUACAAAAGUGAUAAAAAAUAUUGUUGUGAACUAAAAUAAAUAAAAGAGAUUACAAUACCUUCGAAAUAUCUUUAAAGACUAAAAUGAUCAAUAAUCUUACAAAUCAAAACGAAGGAAACUUAAGGAGGACAUAUUUGUCUCAAUUUUUAGAUAAUGAUCCCUUAUGAAUUUAAAUAUCUCAGAUAUUUUUGUAAAAGAUUAAUAAACCUGAUUUAAUAUAAUUUUUAUUUUUGUGAAAGAUCAACUUAAAUCAUAGAUUUUAUUGUUAGAAAUCAGUUUAAAUAUGCACUCUAAAGUAUAAAAUGUACUCACUCACAAAAAAAAAAGAAUGAGAGACAAACACAAAUUGUAAAACAAAUCAUAUCAUCUCCAAUUAAUUAAUAAUCACUACCUAUAAGUAUACUAUAUGUUAUAAAUUUCUCUCUGGGGGUUAUUGGCAUAAGAAUAGCCUACAACUCUAUAUAAAUGUAAGAUGUGUCUCUAUAACCUUGCUAUGCAUGUUGCCAUCCAUAGAAUACAUUUACCAUUCAUGGUCUGUGGCCAUCAAACUUCUUUCAACCUCCUUGACCAAUUAAUUCAAAGUUGGGUGGCCAAAACCAUGAACAGUAAAUUUAUUUUAAAAAAAUUAUUGGAAUACACAUCAUAAAUUCAUUUAUAUAGCUACAAAUAUUAAAUUAUUAUCGAUGAUUAAAAAGAUAUUUGUAUAAAGAAAGAUGUAAAUAGAUAGAAAAUAUAGUCAUUCUAGAAUAGAUAGAAAAUAUACUCAUUUUAGAAUUAUAAAGUUUGAAAUUUGAAGUUUAUGGAUUGGGAUAGAAAGAAAGAAUGAAGGGAGUUUGAAAGGAGUUUAUAGAUAAAGAUUAGUUGAGUAGAGAGUUUAGUGUGUG
rnacentral:lncRNA from 1 species